GAUGAACGCUGGCGGCGUGCCUAAUACAUGCAAGUCGAGCGAACAGACGAGGAGCUUGCUCCUCUGACGUUAGCGGCGGACGGGUGAGUAACACGUGGAUAACCUACCUAUAAGACUGGGAUAACUUCGGGAAACCGGAGCUAAUACCGGAUAAUAUAUUGAACCGCAUGGUUCAAUAGUGAAAGACGGUUUUGCUGUCACUUAUAGAUGGAUCCGCGCCGCAUUAGCUAGUUGGUAAGGUAACGGCUUACCAAGGCAACGAUGCGUAGCCGACCUGAGAGGGUGAUCGGCCACACUGGAACUGAGACACGGACCAGACUCCUACGGGAGGCAGCAGUAGGGAAUCUUCCGCAAUGGGCGAAAGCCUGACGGAGCAACGCCGCGUGAGUGAUGAAGGUCUUCGGAUCGUAAAACUCUGUUAUUAGGGAAGAACAAAUGUGUAAGUAACUAUGCACGUCUUGACGGUACCUAAUCAGAAAGCAACGGCUAACUACGUG
rnacentral:rRNA from 1 species